AUACGUAGGGUGCAAGCGUUAAUCGGAAUUACUGGGCGUAAAGCGUGCGCAGGCGGUUUUGUAAGACAGUGGUGAAAUCCCCGGGCUCAACCUGGGAACUGCCAUUGUGACUGCAAGGCUGGAGUGCGGCAGAGGGGGAUGGAAUUCCACGUGUAGCAGUGAAAUGCGUAGAUAUGCGGAGGAACACCGAUGGCGAAGGCAAUCCCCUGGGCCUGCACUGACGCUCAUGCACGAAAGCGUGGGGAGCAAACAGGAUUAGAUACCCUGGUAGUCCACGCCCUAAACGAUGUCAACUGGUUGUUGGGGAUUUAUUUUCUCAGUAACGAAGCUAACGCGUGAAGUUGACCGCCUGGGGAGUACGGCCGCAAGGUUAAAACUCAAAUGAAUUGACGGGG
rnacentral:rRNA from 1 species